CGCGAUAAACACCCCCGGCCCCUCGCUGGCCCCGCGCCCGCCGCCCGCCGCGGGGAACAGCCGCGCUGCCCUCGGAGCCGCGCACUGCGGUGCGGGGCCGGGGGGGGCGGCGGCGGCGGCGGCUCCGUGGGGCCGUGCCGCGGGGCUGCGCUGCCGGGAGCGCGGCUCCCGCUCCGACCUGAACCCGCCGCUCCUCUGUUUGUUUAUUUCCCGGCCGCGGUGGCCGGCUGCCAAGCACGCGGACCUUUCCUAUUAAAAACCCAUUUCUCUUGCCCUGCGCGGAGCAGCUCUUCGCUCGCCGCGCUCCGUUGUGCCGUUAACGCAGCGCCGCGCGGCGCGACCGGGACCGAGGGGGUGGGAGGGGGGGCACCGCAGCCCGGGGAGGCGAUGCCCGGCCCCGGGGCCCCUCGCCCUUAUCGGACGCCGCUCCCGCAGCACGGGGUCGGCGCUGCCCCUCCGGCCGGGGCUCCCCGCGGGGCGGCUCCCGGCCCUUCUCCUCCCCGGGGGUGUCCGCCGGUCGGCCGAGGCGAGAGGAUCCAACAAUAAAGUAGAUUGAAAUAAGUCUGCGGUUGAGCGGCAACGUGAGGCCCGGAGGAAGCACGCUGCUGCCGUGCGAAAUGCGGACCAUGUGUGGGAGCGAUGUGCCCGGCGGCACACGGCGGCGAAGGACGGGGCAGGGCAGGGCCGGGCCCCUCUGCUGUGUGCCGCCGUCCCGGGGUCGUACGGCACAGCCGGCGCGAUACCGACUUAUGGCCGUGCGCCGUUCCCGUGAUGGUCGGGAUCCUUUCGGUCUGAGGCUUUCGCGACGUGCUUUGUGUUCGCCCACCUCGAGGCUCUGCGGGCAAAGGGUUAAAUCUUCGGAGGGCUGGAAGGAAGCAGCCGAGUUUCAGCAAAGAAGAAAAAAAAAAAGGAAAAUAAAGAAAGGUGGAGGAGAAGAAAGGAGUGGGAGCGGGGAGAGGCGAGGGCCGCACGAUGCCCUGAUCAUCCCUCUGGCUGCCGGAGAAUAAUAAUUAAUCCCAAUCGUAACCCGCGGCCUUUCUCUCCUAUUGGGCUCCGCCAGGAAGCGCCUCCGGCCCUGGGGCUCUCCGUUCCCUCUCCGCCCCCCCCUCCCCGUCCUUUCCUCGGGCAGAGAGAGGAGAAAGGGCCGCGCUGCCCACCGCCGCCCGCGCUCCUCCGAUCGCCGCGCACAGCUGUGGCAGCGCGGUGCCUCUUCCAGCGCUCGCUCCUCUCUCCCGGCUCCGGCUCGGCACCCUCCUCCUCCUCCCCCUUUGUUCUCCCCCCCCCCCCCCUCCGCCUUUCCCUCUCUUUAAAUAGAUUUCAAGGCGCUGCCUGCUGGAGAGCGGCUCUCCGGAGAGCGCAGCUAUCGCUUCCCCGCCGCUAACCUCCCCCUUUCCUCCGCUCUCCGAGCACAACGCGAUCCCGUGGCCGAGCAACCUGCGCUGGGAAAGAUAGAGAAAAGCACAACCGGCCCCCCCCGGGUCGUGCGCGACCGCGUGCAAAGGGAGGGCUCGGGUUGACCCUCCCGAACGCAGAGGGCCGAGGGCAGCGGGGAGCCCUCCUCGGGCCGCGCCCCCCCGCACCGCCCCGCACCCGGAGCGCUCUCGGGGCGGAGGGAGGCCGAAGACAGAAUAGGGCGGGUGGAAGCGAAGUGCCGCCCGGAGAGCUGUUGUGACAGAUGCUCGGCUUCGCCGGUGAGAGAAGGAGUUAAAAGCGAGCGAGCUGCUUGUCGAUCGAGCCGCUUCCCCGAGCGGCGGCGGAGCGGCUGGCUGGAAAGCCGUCCAUCAGCAACCAGUCCGACCUGCCCGUGAUAAUAUGCGAUCAACACCAAAUCACCCCCGCCAGGCACGAUCCAUCAUCGCCGCGAUGCGAUGGGCCCUUUUAUGGCUGUGUCUACGCGGGGGGCGGGCGGGAGGGAAGGGGGAGGGAGCGGAGAAGAGAGAGCGGGAGCGCGUGAGUGGGGAGGGGGGCAUCCGCCGCAAUGGGAACCGCAGCCCCCCCCCUCCCCCCGGGCUCCUGGAGCCGCGGAGCCGAAAGUUGCCGGGCCGGGGCUGCGCCUGGCAGCGGGCCCCGCCGCCUCCGCCUGCCAUCAGCCUCCCCUCCCCCCGCCGGCUCCUCCGGGGCGAGCUUGACUGGCGUUAAAUUAAUAAUUAAUCGGGUGAAAUUGAUUAAAGGGCUCUGCGCGCGAUGGGGCGCGGGGAGAGCCCUUCCCCUCCUCUCCGGCAGCGGGAAGCCGCCGGCCCUGGGAGCUCCGGGGGCGCCCGGCCCGAGCAGGAAGGAAAAGGGCGGCGGGGAGCGGAGCGGGGCGGGGGAGGAAGGCGGCGGCGGCGGCUGCAGCAGCAGCAGCAGCAGCAGCAGCAGCCCAGCUGGUGGCUGACUGCAAGCGAGAGCGGCGGCGGCGGCAGCAGGCGAGGGCUGGCCCCAGGCUGGCUCGGCUCCGCGCAGCUGGGAGUGCGUGUGCGUGUACAAAGCCGGAGCCCGGGAGCUGCCCGAGGGCGGUGCUCGGCACCACAACGCCAACCUCCCCCUCCCUUCCCUGCCCUCCCCCCCCCCCCUCCCGCCGAGAUCAGUCUCUGCCACGGAAGGAGUGGGGAACCGCAGGGGACGCGGCCGGGCCGGCGCACGCUUCAGCUGCAGCCCCGCCGAGGCCGCCCAUUGGGAAGAUCCGUGCUGGCUCUCAGGGGAUUCAAAUCGGCCCUUAAUGCGGGGUAGCUCCUAACGUGGGCGCAGCUGAGCAGGGCACGGCGAUGGAGCAGCUUACGCUUAAUGCUGCUGCAGACCUCAGCCUUAAGGAACAGGUAGGCACGGCUUAGCUCAGCAUCGUUUCAAAUGCCAGGUUCAAAACAUGUUCAACUCCACCGAGUCGUGGGCAGCGGGGCUCUCCUUUGUCAGAGAUUCGUACUGAAGACAAACAUUGGUGGCAAUUGUGUCUAAAAAUACCUCCGAACCUGCUUCUUGGGGGCGAGCGCAGACGCCAGGCGCCUGACCAUGGCCGUAAAUUGCUGUCGGUGACACAGCUCGGGCGUAUUUAGGGGACCCAGCUUUGCCCUUUCCUUGACAGGACAGCGGCUCGCCCUGGGGUUCGUCUGCUCGUGUCACUGUCAUCUGUCAUGACACACUCGCGCGGGACCCAGCUGCUUACGCUGGGAAAGAAGAAAUGUGAAAAUAAUUGGUUGAUGCUUAUGUGGCUCCUUAGGCUACACCUGCACAGCCCUUUUCGGGGCUCUCUAUUUGAAGAAUCAUUAACCUUACAUAUACAUACUGCCCUGUAUCUUAGAUAAUGUGCCCUUCUGCCGUUAACCUUUACAUAAUGCAAGUGGGAAAAAAAGCCUCAUCACUACUGAGCGCGUCCGAGUGCAGCCUGGCUGCAGUUUAACGAUGAUACUGAAAGCGUCGUCAUGUUUUGGUAUACUCCUUUCUGAGCCUGCUGGAAACCUUGGAGAAGUGACAAACGGGACUCAGAAGCGUGCAAGAAAAGUUACUUCUGGGCAAAACAUCAUCCAUCAGGAUACCACUUACAGUGUAUUUUGGUAGAAGUCCCCAAAUUACAGUUCUUCAAAAUUAAAAUAAAGAUCACGCAUAAUAUGGGCAGCUUGUUUCUGGAUUUCACAGAGCUCCCAUCUUUUGCUGCAAGCUGCUUCUAAUGUUGCAAUGAAAUCCAUAUUCUGCUGCUUCUACUUCUGUUUUGCACCAGGUUUCUUGUUUUUAAACAUAUUGUGUUCGAUGGGGAGUGUGACUUGACUGUCAAAUGGCAAUGCUGUAUAUGCAGCCUUUACAACUGCCAGCCUGAAUGAUUCCAUGGGUGAAAUCACAUUGGUCAGGUGGUGUUGGCAUGGUUCAUGCAGUGGGUGCAUAUUGCAUGGGGGCAGGC
rnacentral:lncRNA from 1 species